UUUUAUGGAGAGUUUGAUCCUGGCUCAGGAUGAACGCUGGCGGCGUGCCUAAUACAUGCAAGUCGAGCGAACAGACGAGGAGCUUGCUCCUCUGACGUUAGCGGCGGACGGGUGAGUAACACGUGGAUAACCUACCUAUAAGACUGGGAUAACUUCGGGAAACCGGAGCUAAUACCGGAUAAUAUAUUGAACCGCAUGGUUCAAUAGUGAAAGACGGUUUUGCUGUCACUUAUAGAUGGAUCCGCGCCGCAUUAGCUAGUUGGUAAGGUAACGGCUUACCAAGGCAACGAUGCGUAGCCGACCUGAGAGGGUGAUCGGCCACACUGGAACUGAGACACGGUCCAGACUCCUACGGGAGGCAGCAGUAGGGAAUCUUCCGCAAUGGGCGAAAGCCUGACGGAGCAACGCCGCGUGAGUGAUGAAGGUCUUCGGAUCGUAAAACUCUGUUAUUAGGGAAGAACAAAUGUGUAAGUA
rnacentral:rRNA from 1 species